ACUGCUCUGUAGAGUAAAGUUAGCGCUAACCACUUAUGAAAACAACCCCCGCCUUUCUUUUCCUUCUCUCUGCCAGGAAGUUUUCGCCUCCAAGAGGAAGCCUCACCUUUUCUCGAUUCACUUAAAGUGUUAGGUGAGAUCACCGGGCUGAACUCAUUCAGUUUCAUAAACCAGAGCAUCAACAAACAAAUUUUUUCUCCUACACGACCGUGGGCUUGUGGGUACCCGGCAUUCCUGGACCUCAGUUCAUUUUACAGAUGAGAAAAUUGAGGCCAAUGGGUUAAGGGACUUGCCCAGGAUCAUACAGCUAGAAAGUAUCUGAGAUCAGAUUUGAACCCAGGACCUCCUAUCUCCAGGCCUGACUCUCUAUCCAAUGAGACACCUAAAUGCCUCUAUAUUUUUUGUCAAUUUCUAUGAAGAGUCAUUGAAGUCCCAUAGCAAGACAAAAGUCAAGAUGACUGAAGAUGAUGGCCUGGGAUACAAUGAAUGACUUUGUUAUCUUUGAUGUUUGCCCAAGCUCUAAGGGCUCUACAGCACCUUCUUCAGCAACCUUCAUGGCCUUCGGAACAAAUAAUUCUCACCUGCCCUUUUCACAAUUUUUUCCCCGGUCUUGACUGAUCUUUAUUGAGCACUGUAGAUGUGUAUAUAUGAUGAAGAGAAGAAUAGAGAAGUAUGAUGCAUACAAAUAUAAAAUGUACUGGGGCCAUGUCGGUUUGAGAAUAGCCUGGUCUGUGGCACACAUGGAGCUCUUGGGGGAACCCCACACAGCAAGUGCAAAUGUCCCCAUCUGGACAGGUGCUUUCUUUCUCUUUCUGUUGAGAGGAGAAACAAGAGGAACAGAAAAAGACAUGGUGCAGAAGGAAUAUUGUUGAUAUGGUCCAUUAGUUCUUAGGGGCUGAUCCUGGGUCCUUGGUGGCAGGACCUGUAUCUUAUAGUAAGAUACUAAUUGCUAGGGUACCUUGGCAUUCGCAAGGACUGCUGGGGCAAUUGUAAAUCUUGAAAUCUCUCAGACUUGUAAAUGUUAAAAAUUUCCCCAUUGGGGAAUUCUUAAUUGGAACAAAUUCCCUACUGAGAAACAUUCCCCAUUUUGAUGUGAGAACUCGCCAGGAUCAGAAAUGGGAGGACCUCUACUCCAACUAUACUUAAGACUGCUUUAGGGGAGAAAACUCCUUGCUAUGGGAGGACCCCUACUCUACCCGUACUUAAGACUGCUUUAGGAGAGAAAACUCCUUGCUAAACAAUGAAAGUACUUGGACCCAUGCUUAUAUAAGGCAAGGAAUUCUUUGAGCCAGGCCUGUUUUUAGAAUUGAUACAAUGGGAUGCUAGGUACCUAAAAGGGUCGGGCAAGUUUUCUCUUGAUGAGAUUAGUUGACUCAGCUGUGUUUUCUCUAGUUCAGACUUACUGAGGAGAUUGGUCAACACAGCAGCAUUUUUUCUGAUUCAGACUUACUGAGGAGAUUGGUCGACUUAGCAGGAAUUUAGAUGGGCAGUCCUUUGGAAAGCGUCUACAGUGAUUGGUAGAUGUAGGGACUUAUGGGAGGUGACAUGGAAGAAAAACCCCUAUAUAAGAAAAAGCAGAAUCUCUUGAGAAUAUAUCCUUUUGGAGAAAUCCUUUUGGAGAAUCUCUGAUGAGGAUCGCUUGGGAAGAAUCUCUCGAGAGAGGCUCUGGAGAAGGGAAGCUCUUGGAGGACAAUCUCUAAGGAGGUCUCGCUGGAGCUCUCUUUGGUGAAGUCAGCUGAGAUGGAGCUGGCCUGGUGUCACUAGAAUCCUUAUUUAGGCAGACCUUGUGGUGAGUGUUAAAAGACUGACUGACUGAUUCUCUCUCUUAAGACUCAGGUCUAGGCCAUAUUGGCUUGAGGCCCUUCAUAAUUAUUCCUUUCCUACUCUUUCUCUCUUUCUCUAAUUCCUCAUUAUAUUGUUAAUUAAAAAUCUCUAUAAAACCCAGUUGACUUGGGUAUUUGAAUAAUUGGGAAUAUUUCCCUGGCGACCACCUUAUAUUUGAUUUAAAACCAAGACACUGUAGUGAAACAUAUUUUCUGCGGUCAAAUUUACUCACCCUCUCUUAUAUCUAUCACAAUUUAUAUCUUCCACUAUUUUAAUCACUACAGUUUAAGACCUCAACCAUUUUAAAUCUCACACAAUGGCUCCUGAUUCUGAAACUUGGUGGAGAGGCACAAUUUGGACAAUGCUCAUACUCAUCCAACUCUUCCAUGGCUAUGAAUUUAGCACCCCCAACAUGUGGCAAGCAUGAGGUCAGGAACACAAUCUCUUUUAUAUCCUUCAGAUGCUUGAGGUAGGCAUUCCCUCUUGUGCUACAAUGGAUUUGAGCUACCCCAACUUGUGUUAGCUCAUUUGCUAAUAUGGCUUUACCAGAGUAUGACCACUGCAUGUGCUACAAUUUCUUGGAACCAUAGAUAAGAGUUUACCUAAUACAUACAUUCAUGGUUAUUAUUAGGAAGAGAAUUGAAAGUAAGGCAAGAAGCAUCGUCUUGACUGUGUUCAAAUUUCAUGAUUUGGAAUAACUGAAUAAGUUCUCUGUAGUUGCUACAUUUAAUCCUGAUCACCUCACCUAAGGAGUUAAUAAAAUAAAAAAUAAAAUAUAUGGAAUGCUUUUUAUGGUUCUGGACAUCCCAGAUUAAGACAAAAAUAUUGGGAAGUGGAAAAGUCCAGGAAAGAACAAAUGAAAUGAUAAAGGAAAGAGAUCUUCUAAAUGGAAUAAUUCUAAAAAAGGAAAGGGGGCAGAUUCUAUAGGAAGAAUGGAUGAUUUCAGAGAGCAUAUGAUAAAAAUAUCUAAACUGAAGGUGUCAGAAAAGUAAUUUUGGAUAUGAGGGCAUGUUUAUACAUUUUAGGAUAUUAGUUUAAGGGAGGAUUUCAGCUUGGGUUUAGUUUUGGGAACAUAGUAUAAAACUUGUUAAAUGAAACUCUUGUGUAACUUAAAGGGGCCUGGCAGUGGCUGUUAGGGGCAUAAUUGGAAGUGAAAAGAAUUUACUUACUCUAGAAUAAAUAUCAAGCAGGCCUAGGAGUGGUUCCAGAAAUACUUUGAUUUGGGGCAUUCUUUUAUGCUGGCUAGAUGAAGCUGUGGGUCUGAAUAAUGAAAUGACUGAAAGAACCUCUUGGCAUUGUCAAACUCACAAAAGGGGGGGGGGACACCCUUUCACACAAAGAAGCAUCAGUAGCCAAAGUUAGUUCCAGGAGAUGGCAAAAAUUUAGCAGAAAAGAAAAGAAGCCUAAUAGCAGAUGACUGAUGGCAACAGUUCCUCAGGAGGAAAAAACAAACAAACAAACACAAUUAUAUAAACUAAAAAACCCAGAAGCUUUGGUAGUGGAGUGGAGCAGCAGGAUGAUUGGCAGUUGGGAGAUUAAGCCUGUGUAGCCAUGAGAUGUGUUACUGCUGAGAUACACCAUAGGAGCAAGAUUUGUUCAGGCAGAGUUCCCUCUCUCUGGAAACAAGGGAAAUCUAUGGGAGAUUUUAUGUCUGUAUAUGGGAGACUUCUGUGUUUUUUUUUCAAACUUUCCUAUUAUUUCUAAUUCAAUGUCUUUUGUUUUCAAUUUGUAUGUCAUUAGGAUUAGUCUGGUAUGCAAUAAUACAUCUCUUGGGGCUCUGAUCUUUUUAAAUAUGAAUAGAUGUUUCCACCCAAGGUAGCAGAACCUGAGUGCCCUUGAGGAAAGGUGAACAACCUGAGGUGGCCUUGAGUAAAAAAAGGUAGUUUUAGAGAAAAUUAAAAACCUUUAUACUACUUGGUAUCAAACUUCUGAAACUCAUUACCCUAAGAGAUGAGAAAAGACAAAAAUAUUAGAUGGUUUCAAGAAGGGGUUUUAGUUAAUUCUUAGAUGAUAGAUUCACACAAAAAAUAACUUAGAAUUGGCCAUGCUAGGGCUUAAUGACUCUGUGCUCCUUUUGUGUUCCUUUUGAUGAUUUCAAUGAUAAAUGGAUAAUUUAUGAUCUAUGAACACUCCAAGAAAUGGUUGGGAACUGAAAAAAAAUUAAUGACUAUGAUUUUCUUAUGAUUAAGACAACUAAAAUAUUUGUUUUUGAAAAAUAAAGCAUUUAGUAAUUUUAAGUGUAUUUCCCUAAUAUCUAGCAUGAUGCCUUGCAGAUAGUAGGCACAAAGGAAUUGUUUGCCAAGUUUAUUUGAAUGAAAUUGUGCAGUAAUGACCAAAAAUAUCACCAAAUGGAGUAAACCAUCAACUUUAAGAACAAAAUCUAAAACAGAAUUCACAAUUUAAUAAUUCCUUUCAUCAGUUAGCUGUAAUGCUGUAUUUAGGCAUACAUUAUAUACGGAUAGAGAGAUGACCUGGGACUGGGAAAGAUGAGUUUAAAAGCUAUCUUUGACACAGAUUGGCUAUGUGAUUAGGGAAAUCACGUAACUUCUUAGUACAUCAGGCUACUCCUUAAGACUAUAUCCUUCCAAGAAGGUACCAAU